AGCCAUCAGGAAUAGGGGGACUUUUG
rnacentral:piRNA from 1 species